UACGGGGGGGAGCAAGCGUUUGUUCGGAUUUACUGGGCGUAAAGAGCUCGUAGGCGGUCUGUCGCGUCUGCUGUGAAAACUCAGGGCUUAACCCUGAGCUUGCAGUGGGUACGGGGCAGACUAGAGUGCGGUAGGGGAGACUGGAAUUCCUGGUGUAGCGGUGAAAUGCGCAGAUAUCAGGAGGAACACCGAUGGCGAAGGCAGUGAUCUGGGCCGGUACUGAGCUGAGGAGCGAAAGCGUGGGUAGCAAACAGG
rnacentral:rRNA from 1 species